rnacentral:rRNA from 1 species
UACAGAGGGUGCAAGCGUUGUUCGGAAUUACUGGGCGUAAAGCGCGUGUAGGUGGCGACGUAAGUCGGGUGUGAAAUCCCUUGGCUCAACCAAGGAAGUGCAUUCGAUACUGUGUCGCUUGAGUACUGGAGGGGAUGGCGGAAUUCCCGGUGUAGAGGUGAAAUUCGUAGAUAUCGGGAGGAACACCUGUGGCGAAGGCGGCCAUCUGGACAGUCACUGACACUGAGACGCGAAAGCGUGGGUAGCAAACAGG